GACAGGUGGUGCAUGGUUGUCGUCAGCUCGUGUCGUGAGAUGUUGGGUUAAGUCCCGCAACGAGCGCAACCCUUGUCGUCAGUUACUAAUCAUUCAGUUGAGGACUCUGGCGAGACUGCCGAGGUUAAGCUCGGAGGAAGGUGGGGAUGACGUCAAAUCAUCAUGCCCCUUAUGUUCUGGGCUACACACGUGCUACAAUGGUCGGUACAAUGAGAGGCAAACCUGUGAGGGGGAGCAAAUCACCAAAACCGAUCCCAGUUCGGAUUGUAGGCUGAAACUCGCCUACAUGAAGUUGGAGUUGCU
rnacentral:rRNA from 1 species